rnacentral:rRNA from 1 species
GACGAACGCUGGCGGCGUGCUUAAUACAUGCAAGUCGAACGGAAAGGCCCUGCUUUUGUGGGGUGCUCGAGUGGCGAACGGGUGAGUAUAACGUGAGUAAACUGCCCCUGACUUUGGGAUAAAUUCUGGAAAAUCGGGCUAUUACCGGAUAGAAGCUCCUGCUGCAUGGUGGGGGUUGGAAAGAUUCGGCGGUUCGGGAUGGACUCGCGGGUUAUCAGCUUGUUGGUCGGGUAGUGGUUUACCAAGGCUUUGAAGGGUAGCCCGCCUGAGAGGGUGACCGGGGACCAGGGUACUAAGAGACGGCCCAGACGCCUACCGGAGGCAACAGGGGAGAACCUGGCACAACGGGCGGAAGCCUGAGGCAGCGACGCCCGGUGCGUAAUAACGUCUUACUGGUUGUAAACCGCUGUCUCCGUUGCCGAAGCGGGAUUGACGGUAAUUGGUAAGGAAGCACCGGCUAACUACGUG